CUUGUAUAAAUGGAGAUAACUAUUUACUUCACAAUAUUGUUUUGAAGAUUGAGUGAGCUAUUUCAUGUAAAACAUUAAACAUGACAUGUAGUAAGCAUUUGAGAAGUAUUAGCUAUAGAUAGAGGCUGCUACAAGUGUAGGCUAGUGCUGAUUUUUUUUUUUUUUUUUUUUUUUUUUUUUUUUUUGCUACCGGGUAUCAAACUGGGAUCUUUGCGUUUGCGCAGCAGGUGGUGAAACCACUGAACUAAAUCCCCAGCCCUGCUAGUGCUGAUUUUGAAAAGCUGUCCGAAGAGUCUAGAAACCAGGAGAGCUACCUGCUAUAAACAGCCAUCCUGGAGGCAUUUGCUGAGCACGGAGAAACCCGGGAGAGAUCAACAGUUCUGUUUCACACACACACACCCACCCCUUGAUCUAUCCGAUUUACCUACAGAGAGCCAGCCAGAAUCAUCUUCUAAGAAUCUUUGGGCCCAGAACAGAGACCUUAAGGGUCAGAGGACUGUGAUGCUUAACAUUUAAACUUGCUCAAGACUUUAGAGUUGAAAGGGAUUAACAGUAUCCCUAGCAUGACCUUCUAGAUCAGAAUAGACUGGCAACUUUUAUACAUGACAUUCCCAUGCUGUCUUUCCCUUCAGCCUCCUGCAAAAUUUGCUGAACACUCUACCACCACCUCCUUUUCCUCCCUGCUACACCUGUGUUGUGGGUGUUAGCCUGGCCGCCCUUGGUCUCUUCCAGAGAGAGAAUAGUCACUUCCUCUUGUAACAAGCUAAGGAAAACUAAGUGAGAAGGUUCAUUUACUUUGGGUAAGCAAUUUAACCUCUGAGCCUAUUUUUCUUUUCAUUGUUCAUUACUUGUCCAAAAAGCUCCUAUAAGACAGGGGUUUUUUCUACUUCAUUUCUGUACCAUGUUCCUUCCCAACAAGUAUCUGACCCCAAGGAGCUCAAUAAAGGUUUGGUCAAGUGAUGAGUGGUCUCCCUCUGGUAG
rnacentral:lncRNA from 1 species